rnacentral:rRNA from 1 species
AUUGAACGCUGGCGGCAUGCUUUACACAUGCAAGUCGAACGGCAGCGCGGGCUUCGGCCUGGCUGCGAGUGGCGAACGGGUGAGUAAUGCAUCGGAACGUGCCCAGUAGUGGGGGAUAGCCCGACGAAAGCCGGAUUAAUACCGCAUACGACCUGAGGGUGUAAGCGGGGGACCGAAAGGCCUCGCGCUAUUGGAGCGGCCGAUGUCGGAUUAGCUAGUUGGUGGGGUAAAGGCUUACCAAGGCGACGAUCCGUAGCUGGUCUGAGAGGACGACCAGCCACACUGGGACUGAGACACGGCCCAGACUCCUACGGGAGGCAGCAGUGGGGAAUUUUGGACAAUGGGGGCAAACCUGAUCCAGCCAUGCCGCGUGCGGGAAGAAGGCCUUCGGGUUGUAAACCGCUUUUGUUCGGGAAGAAAUCCUCUGGGCUAAUACCCCGGGGGGAUGACGGUACCGGAAGAAUAAGCACCGGCUAACUACGUG